GUAGGGGGCGAGCGUUAUCCGGAAUUAUUGGGCGUAAAGAGUGCGUAGGUGGCACCUUAAGCGCAGGGUUUAAGGCAAUGGCUCAACCAUUGUUCGCCUUGCGAACUGGGGUGCUUGAGUGCAGGAGGGGAAAGUGGAAUUCCUAGUGUAGCGGUGAAAUGCGUAGAUAUUAGGAGGAACACCAGUGGCGAAGGCGACUUUCUGGACUGUUACUGACACUGAGGCACGAAAGCGUGGGGAGCAAACAGGAUUAGAUACCCCUGGUAGUCCACGCCGUAAACGAUGAGCACUAGGUGUCGGGGUCGCAAGACUUCGGUGCCCGCAGUUAACGCAUUAAGUGCUCCGCCUGGGGGAGUACGCACGCAAGUGUA
rnacentral:rRNA from 1 species